CCUACGGGGCGCAGCAGUGGGGAAUAUUGCACAAUGGGGGAAACCCUGAUGCAGCAACGCCGCGUGAAGGAAGACGGUUUUCGGAUUGUAAACUUCUGUUCUUAGUGAAGAAUAAUGACGGUAGCUAAGGAGCAAGCAUCGGCUAACUCCGUGCCAGCAGCCGCGGUAAUACGGAGGAUGCGAGCGUUAUCCGGAUUUAUUGGGUUUAAAGGGUGCGCAGGCGGCGAGUUAAGUCAGCGGUAAAAUUUCGGGGCUCAACCCCGACGAGCCGUUGAAACUGGCUUGCUAGAGUGGGCGAGAAGUAG
rnacentral:rRNA from 1 species